rnacentral:rRNA from 1 species
UACGGAGGGUGCAAGCGUUAUCCGGAUUCACUGGGUUUAAAGGGUGCGUAGGUGGGCAGGUAAGUCAGUGGUGAAAUCUCCGAGCUUAACUCGGAAACUGCCGUUGAUACUAUUUGUCUUGAAUAUUGUGGAGGUAAGCGGAAUAUGUCAUGUAGCGGUGAGAUGCUUAGAUAUGACAUAGAACACCAAUUGCGAAGGCAGCUUACUACACAACGAUUGACGCUGAGGCACGAAAGCGUGGGGAUCAAACAGG